GAAUUGACCGGAUCCGAUUUGAUCAUCCGACGUCUCUAUAUUCGUUACAACACACAACUAUAAACAUGUAAACAAUAACUAAAACAAAGUGAUCAACAUGCCUUCACAAUAUUGUAAUAUCCAGAGUCAUUUCAAGUCAAUGUUGCCAUUUUCUUCUGGUGCCACAAGCAUGUAAACAAGCGUAAAACACGGUAUGUUAAACUCAUCAUCAAGUUAUUGCUAAAGCAAAAUCAAGAAAAGAUAAUGUUCACAAAAGCUGAACUGCAAAAUACAUGAUACUAUGAUCAACAACAGACACAAAAACAGACUCAUCUUGAUCUCAUCAGUAGUUCUCAUCGCUAACAAAUCGCUCGACCCUGUUUUCGUUCAGAUUUAGACCACCCAUUGCUUCCUCCAAACCACUGCUAGCCGCGGCCAAAAUAUGGGGAUCGUUAUAGUUCCUGACAGCCUGCACAAUUGCCCUUACUUUCUUGUAAGGAUCAGAGCAAUUGAAUAUAUCCGAACCAACAAACACACCAUCACAACCCAGCUGCAUCAUGAGCGCUGCAUCUGCAGGCGUGACAAUUCCACCAGCAGCAAAAUGAACCACAGGGAGCCUACCCAUCUGCUUCGUCUGCGCAACAAUAUCAUAAGGGGCACCGAUCUUCUUAGAGAAAGUGAAGACCUCAUCAUCAUCCAUGUUUGAUAGAAUUCUAAUAUCUCCCAUCACUUUCCUCACAUUGUGGACUGUAUCAACAAUACUGCCCGUACCCGCUAGAUCCCCUUGGGUCCUAACCAUGGCAGCGCCUUCUCUGACUCUCCUUAACGCUUCUCCAAGAUCUCGACAUCCACAGACAAAAGGUGCCCUGAAAUUGUGUUUGUUGACGAAAUGAUCUUCGUCGGCGAGGGCUAAAAUCUCGCUCUCAUCUAUAUAAUCAACUCCAAUAGCUUCAAGGAUCUGGGCUUCAACAAAAUGACCGACACGGGCUUUAGCCAUUACAGGAAGCGCAACUGCCUGCUUGAUUUCCUUGAUUAGAGACGGGUCGGGCAUACGCGAGAUUCCGGGUCCUUUAGGCUCCGAAACUACAAGACAACAAACUCCGGCCGACUCGGCAAUCUUCGCUUGGUUGACGGUGGUGACUUCCGCAAUCGCUCCUCCUCUAAGCAUUUGAGCAAUUCCAACUUUGAUCGAAAACGAAUUCUUCUUGGUAUCAGUUAUGGCGCUGCCACUGUACACUGUAACGGCACCGUCUUCUUCCAUUUUGCAAACUGUUUCUGAAAAUGCCUGAACCAAAAGCAGAUAACAAAUUCUCAAAACAGUAAAACUACGCCGGCGAGAUUGGAAUACGUUGGUGGAGAAAUGAUUGUGAAGAAUGAUAUAUAAAGAGAAGUCCGGUGGGAGAAUUGGAAUGGGGCGGUGAGAUUUAGUUUGUUCUAGAAACUGCUAGGAGGUGUCUGCGUGUUUUUUGUAAGAAAGUUC
rnacentral:misc_RNA from 1 species